rnacentral:rRNA from 1 species
UACGGGGGGAGCAAGCGUUGUUCGGAUUUACUGGGCGUAAAGCGUGCGUAGACGGUUAUGUAAGUCAGAUGUGAAAUCCCCGGGCUUAACCUGGGAACUGCGUUUGAAACUGAAAGGCUAGAGUGUGGCAGAGGGGGGUGGAAUUCCACGUGUAGCAGUGAAAUGCGUAGAGAUGUGGAGGAACACCGAUGGCGAAGGCAGCCCCCUGGGCUAACACUGACGCUCAUGCACGAAAGCGUGGGGAGCAAACAGG